rnacentral:rRNA from 1 species
CUCUUGAGACAUCUCAAGUAACCUCUGCCCUAUGAAUGGUUUAAAUGGCCGCAGUAUUUUGACUGUGCAAAGGUAGCAUAAUCACUUGUCUUUUAAUUGGAGGCUGGAAUGAAGGAGGCGACGAAAUUUAGGCUAUUUAGUUUUAAUAUAAAAUUAACAUAAAGGUCAAAAGGCUUUUAUACACCAAAGGGACGAUAAGACCCUAUAAAACUUUACUAUUGGCAGGGUCAUUUAGGUAGGACUUAAACUAUAGUUUAGCUGGGGCGGCUAGCAUAAAAACAACCACAAAAAAAAUAUUUUUAAUAAACUUAUAGAGCUCCGGUAGGAAAUGAAUAAGUUACUUUAGGGAUAACAGCAUAAUUCCCCCAGAGAGUCCUAAUUGGCGGGGGAGCUUAUGACCUCGAUGUUGAAUUGGGGUGUCUAAUGUAAGUAGAAAUAUAUUAAGAUGGUCUGUUCGACUAUUAAACUCCC